UGGACUGGGUAAAUUGAACAUACUUCUGAAUUGCCUAGUCAGACAAAUGCACCUCGAAAGAAAUAAAUGGGAAGGUACCUCUAAAAACAGUGUUGCUCGAACAACACAGUUUCUGGGAUCCGCGCAUGAAUUGUCUCUUCAGGAUACCUUGUGGGUAUGGCAGCAUCUCGCACCUGUCGUUCAACACGCGUCAAGCCGCCGAUCGUCAAGCUCCGGGCAUCAUUUCUCUGCUUGGAACCUCAAACAGUAAGACGAACAGUAGUUCUCUAAUUUAGAAGUCUAAGGUGUGUCUCACUUCGUCCAUUCAGUGCAUGCUGUUACUUUCUUGUCCCAGUACGACGGUUCCUCGGAAAAUCAAAGAGAAUACCACGAGGGCGACAAACGUGUGGAGGCAAGCUCCAAGGGCCAGACACCCAAGACAUGGACCAUCAGUAACCAGGGGGAUAAGUAAACCGGUGCAGUAUGAAGAGCCCAGUCCCACAGUCUACCAUCGCUACACCUCAUCGCCAGCAGCGAGCGGUGCUAGGAUGCCCUGCAGUCACGCGCUGCAUUCACCGGCGCGAACCAGUUACUUUGAGAGACCCCAUGGACAGGACGCACCUACUCCUCGUCUGUGGGAGUGGGAAACAACCGGCAGCCCCUGAUGUUUCUGCGGGCAGCUGAGCCAAGCCCCAACGUCUGCCCUACCCAGCUGGCCCAGUGUUUCCUUAGUGCUGAGAUGGGAUACUUUGCUGUGGUCAGCCACAGCUGUCGACUACCGCAGUCGUCUUUUUCGAGGCGACCAGCAACCUGCUUCGUUCCCAACUCGGGCCCGAGGCCAGUUCCAGGGUCGUCAAUAUGACAACCAGGCGUUCCGAAGAAAUCCUCCUCCGGCGGCCGCUGCAGCUGGACAGGACCAAUGCAGUGUGGAGGCCCACGGCCAGCAAGGUGCCCGGUCAAGGUGCCCGGUCAAGCCACGUCCCGCCAAGCCGGCAAUCCCAGCCGCCUGAAUGCAUUCCUCGCUGACGCUAGGGUAAACGGUUGCCCAUUACAUCUUCUAAUUGACACCAGAUUGCAUGUCUCCACCUUGAAUCAAACUACCUGCAGUCAAGUUGAUACAAAAAGCAAAAUAAAGUAGACGCCUUGUUUCAAAGACUUCGAACAUCCGUUUAAACGAAAGCUGGGUUUAGUACGGAAGCACACUCAUAUAGCGAAGGUGCGACACACUGUCCCACCUGUCCAGUUAAAGUUACGUCAUCUCCCGAUAACGCUUUGCCACACGGUUUUUUAGAUCUUCAAACUUGAACGCUAAGGCAUCAUCGAAUGCAUCUUUGCCUCUGAAUGGGUCUCCUUUUGACAUGAAUUCAGGUGUUUUAUUAUUACGUUGCUGUGUAUGGUUGUGUCCUAUUUCCGCAUGUGUUGUUCUUUCGUACUAAACACCCCCCCCUUCCCAUAUAGAACUGAUGCACUAUUUUUAAAACAUGAAGGGGGGCUUUACUUCUCCCCCGUACCCCAUAGAGAAGUUUCUUUCGUAGAUAUUUCCAACAUUAUACAGGGUGAAAAUAAAAACCAUCCGACGCACUCGUCGCGAGAUCCACCGGGAAAAAAACCUCAUUCGCCCUGAGAAUGCAGCACACCUCAAUGACAGGCGUGCUCAGAUUGAACUGUGCUUCGGAGUUUCAAAACCUGUUUUGAAAUUAUAAAACAAAUUCGAAUAUCUUCGCCAACUUC